UUUCAAGAGAUAAAAAGAGACAGAAUGUCGUCAUCAUCAUCGAUUUUGACGCCGACACAGAAGAGCGCGGCUGGAGCUCUGUUUGAGCUGGCGCUGCAUCAGGCUCAAAUCCACCAGACUCAUCCAUUGGGCUUUUCCUCUGUUGACAACGACGGCCGCUCGUGGGAGGACCUAGUGAGCAGUGCCGACUCCGUUUCGGAGGAUUCCCAGCUUUGGGUCCACGAGUCCUCAUGCCUCUUCGCCCAAUUUUCAAGUAAUCGUUUCCUACUCUUGAUAACCUGUGUGUGUAUAUACCUGGCCAUGCAUGCAUGGAAGUGUUGCUUGCGGGUCUGUCAGUUUUCUUAUGCAGUUGCAAAAAUUAUGCGGGUUUAGUUAGGGAUAACAAAUUACAGUGGCAAACUUUCAUUUGAGGCUGAUAACUGAACAGAUUUCUAGAAAUUGAUAACAAAGCUUGGUCUGGACUCGAGGAAACUUUUGUAUCUUCACCACCAAAGUAUCAUGUAGGAGAGGUAAGUUCUUUACCUUCUUUUUGUUGGAAAAUUGCUGCAUAAAUUAUUGAUAUACAAAUUACGGGAAAGAUUUUUGACUUACCGAAAUCAUAAUAUGUGCAUGAAAUUAAUGUUGGAAAAAAUUGGGUUUUAAUUAAUUGGUUUGACCAACUUUUGACCAAUUAAUUUAGUGGGCCCCGUUAAUCGGAUAUAAGAUUUCUUUGGCCGAAUGUGUUCUACUCCAUGAGUAGAUUAAUAUGGUAUAUUUAUUUUCUCAAAACCAAUUUAGGGUGAAUGAGAACCUACUUGAUGUUGAAAUAAAAUAGGUGAAAAAUUGGAAAAUACCAAUUCCACUUAGGAAAACUAGAAGAAUAUAAACCACUUUAUAUAGCUCAAGUUUGGGAUUUGGGUUUGGGUCCCACGGGGUACCAAUAGUCUUUGAGGGGGAGAGAACCUACAUGCUAGUAGGUUAAGCCAAAGCCCACACGCGCGUGUCGCCGCCGUCCGUCCGACCGGCCAGCUUGGGCCAAGCUGAUAUAUAUUUUUUGAUAAAAUAACAUUUGAAUUAUAUUAUUUUAUUAUUAUUUAAUAAUAAUAAUAUAUUUUUUAUGUUAUUAUUUUUUCUUCCCCUAAUUUUCUGUAUUUGACACGUGGUGCUUCUAGAAUUUGGCGGUUGAAUGUCUAAUCGGUUGUGGCGGUUGACUGUCCAAACUGUUUGUGUCUUUUGGACACAGCUUUUCGACAGUUGUGUCUGUUGGGACACAACCUUUCAACAUCUAUAUAUAGGCCCCCAUACCCCGAUUUUAAUUCAUUCUAAAAUCAGAAUUGAUUUUCUACUCUCCCGAAAUUAUCCCAUUGUCCCUGCAUCAUUUCUGUUUUUAUAAUUCAGUCCUCAAAAAUUAUUUUCAUGCAUUUUAGUCAUCUUAUGUGUGUGGAGAGAUCUAAACUUUACGGGUUCAUCGGGUCUUGUAAUUUGGAGUACUACUAUUACAAAAUGAGGUCGUUGUAUCUUGGAAAACGAGUGCUGCAAUACCAUCAGUACCAGUUCAGGACAUUAUCGUUUUAAGGAGAAAGAGUCGAACUCUUGCCUCGACCAUUCAAAACCAUCCAAACGUCGUUACUUUGCCCAAAUAUACAUUACGGUGACACUAUUAUUUGCCUAUAUUAUUCAACAAUCUUAAAAUGAUAAUGGCAAGUACGUCUGUUGUACCCCCUAGUACGUCUGUCGUACCCCUUAACAUGCUCACGGGGAGAAACCGAAAAAAUUCACGGGAGUGGAUUUGAAGAGAUGGCAACAGAAAAUGUUGUUCUAUCUCACGACUCUGAAUCUAGUCAAAAUCUUGAGAGAAGAUGCUCCAACUGUUGAGGAGAAGGAAACAGAUUCUCGAAAACGAGCAGCAUUCGAUACUUGGAGUCAUAGUGACUUCUUGUGCAGAAAUUACAUCCUCAAUUGCCUUGACAACACACUAUACAACGUAUACUGUUCCGUCAAAACGGCUAAAUUACUAUGGGAGUCAUUGGAAAAGAAGUACAAAACAGAAGAUGUCGGAUUGAAGAAAUUCGUUGUAGGCAAAUUCCUGGACUUCAAAAUGGUAAAUUCUAAAACAGUAAUGACUCAAGUCCAAAAGAUACAACUUAUCUUGCACGAUAUACAUGCAGAAGGCAUGAAACUCUGUGAACCAUUUCAGGUAGCUGCAAUUAUCGAAAAAUUGCCACCAAUGUGGAAAGAUUUCAAGAACUAUCUGAAACAUAAACGCAAGGAAAUGGAAUUUGAAGAUUUGAUUGUUAGAUUAAGAAUUGAGGAAGACGUUCAAAAUGCUGAAAAGAAGUCUGGAAAGCAACAAAUGGAGGCUAAAGUUAAUUUGGUGGAGCCAAAUACUAGCAAGAAAAGGAAGCACCCGAAUAAUGGCAAGCAAAAGAGCAAGGCCAAGAAAUUCAAAGGAGAUUACCAUAACUGCGGUAAGCCUGGUCAUAUUACAAAGGACUGUCGGCAGAAAAAGCAAAACAAAAAGGACCAAAUGCACUUGACUGAAGAAGACAGACUGUCUAACGGAGUGUUUGAACUAAUGCUCUCGGAUGUUGUAUUUGAAGCAAACAUAGUGGAUAAUCUGAGAGAAUGGUUUGUUGAUACUGGCGCUACUCAUCACAUUUGUGCGGAUAAGGAGAUGUUUUCAUCUUACACUCCUAUCAAUGGAUGACAAUUUUUCAUGGGCAACUCAGCAACAUCAAAAGUUAUUGGUCUAGGUAAAGUAGUGCUGAAGAUGACAUUAUGGAAAGAAGUAACACUCAUCGAUGUGCUGCAUGUUACCGAUAUUCGCAAAAACUUGGUAUCCGGAGCUCUGUUAAGCAAGAAUGGGUUUAGGCUGGUAUUUGAAUCUGACAAGUUUCUACUCACCAAAAAUGGCAUGUUUGUAGGCAAAGGGUUACUUAGCCAAUGGGCUAUUCAAAUUGAAUGUAAUGUCUGUACUCCGUGAUUUUGAUAUUAAUAAAAAUAAAUCUUCUGCUUACUUGAUUGAGUCUUCUAAUUUAUGGUAUGAUAGGUUAGGACAUGUAAAUGUUAAUACUUUACGAAGAUUAGUAAGUUUAGAUUUAUUUCUUUCUAUGUCCUUUGAUCAAAAUCAUCGAUACGAAAAUGUGUAGAGGCUAAAUUAGUGAAAACACCGUUUCAUUCAGUUGAAAGAACUCGAAUCCUCUAGAACUAAUUCACAGUGAUAUUUGUGAUUUAAAAUUUUUGCAAACUAGAGGAGGUAAAAAGUAUUUUAUUACUUUUAUAGAUGAUUGCACAAGGUAUUGUUAUGUCUUUUUGCUAAGGAGUAAAGACGAGGCUUUAGAAGCAUUUAAACAGUACAAGAAUGAGGUUGAGAAUCAACUAAGCAAACGAAUAAAAAUUGUUCAUAGUGAUAGAGGUGGGGAAUAUGGAGCACCGUUUGAUGAAUUUUGUUCAGAUUAUGGGAUUAUUCAUUAAACUACAGCUCCUUAUUCACCUCAAUCAAACGGUAUUGUGGAACGCAAGAAUCGUACUCUAAAAGAGAUGAUGAACGCUAUGUUGGUUAGUUCUGGUUUACCACAAAAUUUGUGGGGGGAAGUAAUUCUCUCAGCUAAUCACAUUCUAAAUAAAGUACCACACAAAGGUAGAAACGAAACUCUUUAUGAGGUAUGGAAAGGUCAUAAACCUUCGUACAACACUUAAAAGUGUGGGGGUGUUUGGUUAAGGUACAAAUACCAAAGCCUAAACAUGUUAAAAUAGGGCUUAAAACCAUCGAUUGCAUAUUCAUUAGAUAUGCUAAUAACAGUAGUGCUUAUCGGUUCCUCAUACAUAAGUCUGACAUUCCGGAUAUACAUGAAAAUACUAUCAUUGAAUCUAGGAAUGCUGUAUUUUUUGAUGACAAGUUUCCUUGUAAAGAUAGGCAAGAAAUAAGCCCAUAAAAACGAACUUAUGAUUCUGCAAUUAGUAAUCCUCAAAGUGAUGAAGAACCAAGAUGCAGUAAAAGAACCAAAACAUCUACAUCUUUUGGUCCAGAUUUUUUAACUUAUAUAUUAGAAAAUGAACCUAGGACAUUCAAUGAAGCAAUGUCUAGUCUAGAAACUCCAUUCUGGAAAGAGGCUAUCAAUAGUGAAAUUGGUUCUAUUAUGUAGAAUCAUACCUGGAAAUUGGUAGAUCUCCCACCUGGUAAUAAACCAUUAGGUUGUAAAUGGAUUUUCAAAAGAAAAUUAAAGACUGAUGGAUCAUUUGAUAAAUACAAGGCCAGAUUGAUAGCUAAAAGAUUCAAACAAAGGGAAGGCCUUGAUUUUUUCGAUACAUACUCACAUGUGACAAGGAUAACAUCAAUUAGAGUAUUAAUUGCAAUCACAGCAUUGCAUAGUUUGGGAAUCCAUCAGAUGGACGUCAAAACGGCUUUCUUAAAUGGUGAGUUAGAAGAAGAAAUUUGCAUGGAACAACCCGAAGGGUUCAUCGCUCCUGGACAGGAGAAAAAUGUGUGUAGACUCGUCAGAUCAUUAUAUGGACUAAAACAAGCGCCAAAACAAUGGCAUGCAAAAUUUAACAAAACUAUGUGUCAAAUGGUUUUAAGAUUAACGAAUGUGAUAAAUGUGUUUAUAUUAAAACCACACCUAAUGCAUAUGAAAUUGUAUGUCUAUACGUUGAUGACAUGUUAAUUGUGGGUAGUAGUUAUGAUAUGAUAACAAAUACUAAGAAAAUGUUGACAAAACAUUUUGACAUGAAAGAUAUGGGUAUUGCAGAUGUAAUAUUAGGAAUAAAAAUUCUUAAAACAUCUGAGGGACUUAUAAUGUCUCAAUCUCACUAUAUUGAGACUGUACUUAAAAAGUUUAAUAUGUAUGAUGAUAGUCCAGUUAAAAUACCAGUAGACUUAAGUCUACAUUUGGCCAAACAUAAGGGCGAAACCGUAUCUCAAUUAGAAUAUUCUCGGAUAAUAGGCAAUUUAAUGUACAUUACAAACUGCACUCGUCUGGAUAUUACAUGUGCAGUAAACAAACUUAGUAGAUAUACAAGUAACCCAAAUAAUGACCAUUGGAAAGCACUGGUAAGGGUUCUUAGAUAUCUACGAUACAUCUCAAAUGUUGGAUUACAUUAUACGAGAUAUCCAACUGUAUUAUAAGGAUACAGUGAUGCUAAUUGGAUAUCAGAUACAAAAGACUCAAAAUCCACUAGUGGGUAUGUUUUUACCAUUGGUGGUGCGGCGGUAUCUUGGAAAUCCUCUAAAUAAACAUGUAUAGCUCGAUCUACAAUGAAAUCUGAAUUCAUAGUUUUAGAUAAAGCUACAGAGGAAGCAGAAUGGCUUCGAAAUUUUUUAGAGGAUAUUCCAUGUUGGCCUAAACCUGUGCCUGCAAUUAGUAUACAUUGUGAUAGUCAGUCGGCCAUCGGUAGAGCACAAAGUAGUAUGAUAAUGGUAAGUCUCGACAUAUUCGUCGAAGACAUAAUAUAGUUAAGCAGCUUAUCUCAAAUGAUGUUAUUUCCAUAGAUUUUUUAAAGUCCAGAGAAAAUCUUGCGGAUCCGCUUACCAAAGGCUUACCAAGAGAUCAAGUAUACUGCCUAUCAAGGGAAAUGGGCUUAAAGCCUACUACAUAAGAAUCUUUGUAAUGGUAACCUAACCUUGCUGACUAGAGAUCCCAAAAUCUCGGUUCAAUGGGACAACUAAGUUAUGAAAAUUCAAUAAGCACUUCGGAGUUAACUCCUACCCAUUCCUAUGAUAAGGAAGUGCUAUGUGCAGAAAGUUUUAGGUUAAGUUAUACUUUUAAUGAUUCCUAUAUCUUGGACUACCUAAGUGGAGUAUGGCAGGUACUCUUAAUAGGAGAUCAACUAUACAAGUGUGAAGUGUGGCCGCUUCUAUGAGAAUGUUUCAAAGGUUUGAAUUCUCUAAAGUACUUAUGAAAUCGAAGAGUUGUUCAGGGCCAAAAUGAACACAACAGUGAGAACUCGAAAAUGUUAGGAAGGUUAUUGUGUUGCUACUAUUGUCUUGGUUUACAAAAACAGCUGACAAUUCAAGACACCGCGUUCACUGAUUAGCCAAAUAAAUCCGAUAGUAUUCUACUACGGAAGGUUCAAACCCAUAAGGUACUUAUCCAGAUGCGAUAACAUUCCGCCUGAUCUCUCUAUAGGGUCUGCAUAUUCUAUUGCAUUAAUUUCCAUUCAUGUGGGGGAUUGUUGGAAAAAAUUGGGUUUAAAUUAGUUGGUUUGACCAAUUUUUGACCAAUUAAGUUAGGGAGUCCCGUUAAUCGGAUAUAAGAUUUCUUUGGUCGAAUGUGUUCUAAUCCAUGAGUAGAUUAAUAUGAUAUAUUUAUUUUCUCAAAAUCAAUUUAGGGUGAGUGAGAAAUUAAGGCCAAAAGAUGCCCACUUGAUAUUGAAAUAAAAUAGGUGAAAAAUUGAAAAAUACCAAUCCCACAUAGGAAAACUAGAAGAAUAUAAAUCACUUUAUAUAGCUCAAGUUUGGAACUUGGGUUUGGGCCCCAAGGGGUACCAACAGUCUUUGAGGGGGAAAGAACCUACAUGCUAGUAGGUUCAGCCAAAGCCCACACACGCGCAUAUAUAUUUUUUGGUAUAAUAACAUUUGAAUUAUAUUAUUUUAGUAUUAUUAUUUAAUAAUAAUAAUAUAUUUUUUAUGUUAUUAUUUUUUCUUCCCCGAAUUUUCUGUGUGUGACACGUGGUGCUUCUAGAAUUUGGCGGUUGAAUGUCUAAUCGGUUGUGGCGGUUGACUGUCCAAGUGACGGUUGACUGUCCAAGCUGUUUGUAUUUUUUGGACACAACUUUUCUGCAGUUGUGUCUAUUGGGACACAACCUUUCAACAUCUAUAUAUAGGUUCCCAUACCCCGAUUUUAAUUCAUUCCAAAAUCAGAAUUGAUUUUCUACUCUCCCGAAAUUAUCCCAUUGUCCCUGCAUCAUUUCUAUUUUUAAAAUUCAGUCCUCGAAAAUUAUUUUUCGUGCAUUUUAGUCAUCCAGUGUGUGUGGAGAGAUCUAAACUUUACGGGUUCGUCGGGUCUUGUAAUUUGAAAUACUACUAUUACAAGACGAGGUCGUUGUAUCUUAGGAAACGAGUGCUGCAAUACUGUCAGUACCAGCGCGGGGCAUUAUCGUUUUAAGGAGAAAGAGUCGAACUUUUGUCUCGACCAUCCAAACGUUGUUACUCUGUCCAAAUAUACAUUACGGUGACACUAUUAUUUGCCUGUAUUAUUCAACAAUUAAGUAAUUUAAAGUUUCACUAAAGUGUUAGAAAUUUUAGAAAUUAGAAGGAGAUAAAAUGAAGUGAGGCAUGAGAUUGUAAUUUUACCCAUCUCCCAAGACAGUGUUGAACCUAGACAUUUUCUAUUAUGGGAUCAAAAAUAGAAAUGCAAUUUAAAAAAAAAAAAAUAACAUUAAUGAAAAUAAGUCAAUACACUACUACAAUUGUAGCCUACGCAUAUUCAAACUGUAGAAAACCAAGAAUGGAAAGAAAAUAGAGACUGGAAAAAUUUGUAAUUGAUAGCAUUAUUGGUAGGAUCAUCUUUUCCUUACUUAACAGAUUUUAUUUUUCCUUUUUUUUCCUAUACGUUGUAAUAUAAAUAGGUUGUAGUAGAGGUGUAAUUACUAUCAAGAAAUAGAAGAGAAUUCUUGUUUCAUUCUUCAUUGUAUCAAAGCCUAGGUUCCCCUAACCUAGCAAACCGAUGGUAGAACUCCCCUUCAACUGCCAAGAAUCAAUGACCUCUGAAACUUCUCAUCCCGAAGCAGAGGCCAAUCCUUCUAUUGGCUCCAAUAAUCUCGAAAAUUCUUCCUUCCAACUCAUAGUAGAAAAAUUAAAUGGAAGAAAUUUUAGAGAAUGGGCCCAAUCUAUAAAAUUGGUAAUCGAAGGAAAAGGAAAAUUGGGUUACUUUAUCGGCGAUACAAAAAGGCCAUACGAUGCUGCGAGUCUGCAGAAGUUGAAAUUUGAGAAUUCAAUGGUGAUAGCAUGGCUUGUCAAUUCCAUGAAGCCUUCAAUAGGGAAAACUUACCUCUUUCUUCCAACAACCAAAGACACGUGGGACGUUGUGAAAGAAACAUACUCCAAUGCUGAAGGCGCAUCAUAAAUUUUCGAAAUCAAAACCCGUUUGUGGCAAACAAAGCAAGGAUCGAGGGAUGUUAUUGAAUUGUACAUGGAUAUGGUGUCCCUAUGGCAAGAACUCGACCUUAGUCUGGAGGAAGAAUGGGAUUGUCCAAGUGAUUGUGAAUGGUACAAGAAAAAAGUUGAGAAUGAAAGAGUAUUUGAGUUCCUGGUCGGGCUAAACCAAGAACUUGACGAUGUAGAGGCAGGGUCCUAGGCCGGUGACCACUACCGUCCACCCGCGAGGUGUUUGUAGACGUUUGAUGAGAAGAAUCACGACGGCAGUCGGCAAGUCAUGUUGAAAGAUUCAUCUGGGAUGAAUAAUGAAAUGUCGGCUUUAAUUAGACAGCUUGGGCCACAGUUUUUCAAAUAAAAUGGGCCUGCCAAUCUUGUUGAAUACAUCGUUCGAAUAAAAUCAUAAAACCAACCAAAUCGAGUGAUUUCACUUCAUCUAUUCAGUUUUCCAUAAUUUAACAAAAAUGAUAAAUAAAAUAAAGAUGGCUAAUUUCGUUAACCAUAGGAAGACUUUCAAAACCUAUAAUUUCAAACAUUCUGCCAAAAUCAACUGCAAUGUCAAAUCUCAAACCCUCAAUCAUGAAUAAUAACAUAGAGAAGUAAAAGGAGAGAAAAUCAAAUACAAAACCAGUACAUCAAACGUAAUAAUUGAAAAUGUAAAAUUUCAUACUUGAUUGAAGAAUAGAUAAUAGAGAUUGGAUAUUGGAGAAGAAGGAUUUAUUUGGAUUGAAGAAUAGAGAUUGGAGGAGGGUUUAUUUGAGUUGUGUAUUCUAAAUGCGAGGAAGAAAAAGAGAGUUAUCAUUAGUAAAGACAGAAGAGUUCGGGUAAAAUUACUUAUUUUUGGGAAAAAAGAAGAAUAAAAGGUCAAAAAAUUUUGGGGGUGGAUCCGCCCAUGUCUCAAGAUACAACUUCUUCCAAAAAGAAUAUAGCACAAUACUAAUUUUGCAUGAUCGUACUUUACUACUUUGCUAAUUUUGCUUUAUGCAUACUAGAAUUUCGGAAAUUUUGAAAUUUUUUUUUAGCUCACCGAACAUAAUGUUUCUGACUCCACGAUAACAUUUUCUAAAGAAAUCGUAUCGGUUCACAAUUUGGACGAGGGUUGGUACCAUUUCAAUAUGCUUAGGCUUUGACCACCAGCAUUUGUGUAUCACGAUGUACAUUGUCAUAUCACUUUGAGUUACUACAAGAAAUUUGUGGUUACCGUAUGUUGUGCUACCCUAUGCUUAUAUGAGACAUAUGAUUGUUAAAUGCAAUUACAGAAGUGUUAAGAGCAGAUUCCAGAAUUAAUUCGCUUACAACAAAAAUUGCAUAAAAAUUAAAGUUGCAGAAGUAAAACAAUUAGAAAGACCGUAGAAAAUUUUUCGCCCUAAAGCAAGAGGUUCAGAGCAAGCGUCUAAUCCCCUUUUGUGCUUCCACCACUGGAAAAAUUACUGCAUUAAACUGAAACCAAUGAACCAUCCAAGAAUAUACAGAUGCGAGACUCAAGCCAGAAUACACUCAAGAUUACAUAUCAAAACCCUCACUAAUCAUCUAACAGUUCACUCAAGAACCCAGAUGCGAAAUCAGUAAGUAUAAUAAUCACUCAAGACAAAUGAUACAUUAUUUCUACUUGAAGAUUUAAGAUCUUCAAGUUGUAAACACAAACUGUAAGGGUUAAAUUCACGGGACUCAGAAAUCUCGAAGAAUGAAUGAGAGGAAAAAUUCAAGGAUCGACAGAGAGAGAACUCAAUAGUCGAAGAAGAUGAAAGACUGAAACCCUAGGAGCCAAGAGACGCAUAUAUAUCAGAAGUCUCCAGAAAAUCAUCAUCCAAUGGUAGCAAUGGUGACACUUGGCAUGAUCCAUAUCAUUUGUUCCAUUUCUAAAAGCGUGUUUUUGAGAACACAAUUUAUUACCAACUAAAUUGAGUCAGACAAGUCAAAAUAGGGCCAUCCAGUCAACAAUAGAUCCACAUCAUUGUGCCAUUACCUCACAAUCUCCACCUUGGUACAAUGACCCCAGUUUACAUGCAGUAAAAUCUCCAGACAUGAUAUCAUUUGCACUUAUUACCUGAUACACAAAUAAGCAAGUGUUAAUAUUCAAAAGAUUUAAACAAUCUAAAAAUUUGUUUAAAGUCGAAACCUUUGUACCAAUAUCAGCAGGAUUAAACUGGGUUGAAAUCUUUUCAAGUUUUACGGCACCUUGUGAAAUAACAUCUCUUAUAAAAUGGAAUCUAACAUCAACAUGUUUAGAUCUAUUAUGCAAAACAGGAUUUUUACUUAAAUGAAUGUCAGAUUGGCUAUCUGAAUAAAGAACAACUGCUUUUAUAAAUCGAAAUUCAUUUAACAAGCCCUUCAGCCAUAUCCCUUCUUUUAUGGCAUCUGUGGUAGCUAUGUAUUCUGCCUCAGUAAAAGAUAAGGCAAUAAUCUUUUGCAGUUGGGAUAUCCAGCUUAUACAAGAAUUACAAAAUGUAUACAUGUAGGCAAAAGUGGACUUUUUAUUGUCCCUAUUAUCAGCAUAAUCAGAAUCAGUAUAGCCUCUUAACACAACACCUUCAGGUUGUUUUCUGAACACAAUUCCCAAAUCAGAGGUACCCUUUAUGUAUCUAAGAAGUCAUUUCAUGGCUUCCCAAUGAGCUUCACCACGAUUUGACAUAUAUCUACUCAAUACACUUGUAGAAUAUGCUAAAUCUGGUCUAGAACAAACUAUAAGGUACAUAACAGACCCAACUGCAUUAGAAUAAGGCACUCUAGUCAUUCUUUCAAAUUCUUCUUGUGAUUAUGGACAUUGAUCAUUAGAAAGUUUGAAAUGAUUAGCUAAUGCUAAACUCACACUUCCAGAAUCAGACAUAGCAAACUUAUCUAAUAAUUUCAGCAUGUAUGAUUUUUGGCUAAGACUUAGUGUGCCUUCCCUCCUAUUUCUUUUAACUUCAAUACCCAAAAUUCUUCUUACUGGACCUAAGUCCUUCAUUUCAAAUUCUGAUUUCAGUUUGUUUUUAAUAUCUUCUAUCUCUUUUAUGUCAUGACUUGCUAAUAGCAUGUCAUCUUCAUAAAGGAGCAAGUAAAGUGAAUUUUCUCCACCACUUCCUUUACAGUAGAUGCAGGUAUCAAAGUUACUCCUCUUAAAACCAAGUCUAAGGACCAAAUUGUCAAAUUUUUUAUACCAUUACCUAGGAGCUUGUUUUAAGCCAUUUAAGGACUUUUUAAAAAGGCAAACUAAGUAAGCUUUCUUAUUUAUUUCAAAACCUUAAGGUUGCUUCAUGUAGAUAGUUUCAUCUAGAUCUGCAUUUAAGAAAACUAUUUUGACAUCCAAUUGAUCUAGUUCCCAAUUAAAUUGAGUGGCUAAGGCUAGAAUAACCCUAACAGUUGUAAAUUUUACAACUGGAGAGAAAAUUUCAUUAGAAUCAAUUCCUUCUUUUUGUGUAAAACCCUUUGUCACUAACCUAGUUUUAUACCUGAUGUCAUUAUCACUUUGUUCCCCCUUUUAAUCUUGAAAAUCCAUUUACAAUCAACUAUUCUUUUACCUUCAGGUCUUUUCACUAAAACCCAAGUUUUGUUCUUUUUAAGUGAUUGCAUUUUAUCUUGCAUUGCUGCAAGCCAUUGUUUAGAAUUUUUACUAUUUAUAGCUUCCUUAAAAGACUCAGGCUCAUUUUCAAUCAUACUUUGAUGGGAUAGCAAAGAAACAUCUUCUUCAAACCUAAUUGGAGGUCUUAUCUGUCUUCUUUGUCUAUCCCUAGCCAAUUGAUAGUUAUCUAGGGUCUGAUCAGUUUCUAAUUCGGCUUCAGUUUCAUCAUUCUGAACAAUGUCAUCAAGUAUUUCCUCAUUUCCCUCAUCAGGUUGAGCAUUAGUCUGAUGUGUUUCCUGAUCAGAUUGCUCCACCUCAAGUUCAACUCCUCUUCCCACAUUUUCAGUCUAACUUAAGGGCUGUAUUUUAUUUUCAGAUUUAAGAUAGGGCAGAUCAUCCUCAUUAAAUACCACAUUUCUACUAAUUAUGAUCUUAUAACCUUUAUUUUCUCUUACCCAUAGUCUAUACCCCUUCACCUCUUCACCAUAGCCCACAAAAACACAUGUAAGAGCCCUUGGUUCUAAUUUGCCUUCAGAUUGACGUGCAAAGUCUACAAAUCCAAAAACCCUCAAGUUACGGAAGUCUACUGGUUUUCCACUCCACUUUUCUUCAGGUGUAUAGCACUAGAAGGGCUUCUAUUGAUCAAAUAACUAGCAGUUUUAAUCGCUUUCCCCCAAAAAAUCUUAGGUAGGCCAAAGCUUAAGAGCAUACAUCUCACCUUUUCAAGUAUAUUUCUAUUCAUUCUUUUUGCCAAACCAUUUUGUUGUGGGGUGUGUGCUUCUGUUCUAUGUCUUAACAUGCCAGAAGAUUUGCACAACUCAUCAAAUUCAAAGUUAUAGAAUUCCAAACCAUUAUCAGUUCUUAACACCUUAAUCUUUUUCUCAGUUUGGUUUUCUAUCAAGGCUUUCCAAUUUUUGAAAACAUUAAAUGUGUCAAAUUUUGAUUUUAAUAGAAAAACCCAAUUUUUUCUAGAAAAAUCAUCAAUAAUUGAUAGGAAAUGUUUAAAAACCAGAAUGAGUUGUUACGAAAGCUGGUCCCCAAAGAUCAGCAUGCAAAUAUUCAAGUACAGUCGCAGAUUUAUGCAUCCAGGCAAAAAAGGUAAUCUUUUGUGUUUUCCAAGAAUGCAGUAGUCACAAAAACUAAGUUUUUCUAUGUUAUCUUUUCCAAAGGCACCAUGUCUUUUCAAAAUCUGUAGCCCUUUGUCACUAAUAUAGGCCAAUCUUUUAUGUCAUAUUUGUGACUUAUCAUUUUGGACUGAGAUUGUUGCUGAUGUUGUGUCCCAAAAGUUUUCAGUUUGUAAAAUGUACAGGCCAUGUCUCUUAGGGGCUUCAACAAUUACCUGUGAACCCCUUAAGAUCUUAAUGUAUCCCUUGUUAAUUAAAGUGUCAUAGCUGAGGUCAUCUAGAACCCCUAAGGAAAUCAGAUUUCUUUGUAAAUCAGGAACAUAUCUAGUUUUUUCCAAAACCAGUUCAUUACUUCCUUUAACUUUCAAAGUGAUAGUCCCUAUUCCUUUAACUUGACAUGUCAUAUGAUUACCCAUUAAGACUUUACCUCCAGUUACAUUUUCAAAAUCAGUGAACCACUCUUUAUUUGGACACAUAUGGUACGUGCAGCCUGAGUCAAGAAUCCACUCUUGAUAAGGUGGACAGUUUACAACUACAUAAACUUCAUCAAUUAAAGUCUCAUUGUUAUAUGCUAAGGCUGCACCACCAUCCUCUUUAGAUUUAUUUUUCAAAUCACCAAGUCUCUUUGGACAAUUUUUAAUGAAAUGACCCUCUCCAAGGCAAUAGAAACAUUUCUUUCCUUUGGUCUUUGAUUUCAUUUUAUCCUUAAAAUUUUUCUUUUUCUUGUGUCGAGGUUUCUUAUUGAAGUUCACUGAUUUUGGAUUAAACUUGGACUUAACUAUCAAAUUCUCCCCAUUGAUAGAUUCCUUUCUCUCAAAUUUUAACUCAAACUCUUUAUUCCUUAAGGCAGUAAUUAUAACAUCUGUAGUUAGAGUUUCCCUCCCAUAUUCAAUGCCAUUUUUAACAUCUUUAUACUAAUCACUAAUUGAAUUUAACAAUACCAUAGCCAACUGAUCUUUUGAGAGUUUCUCAUAACAGUCGGCUAGGUCACCGGAUAAUCUAUUAAAUCUAUCAAUAUUAACCUCAAGAUCAAGUGAUGGGUCAAGUUUAAGACCAAAACUUUGUUUUAGAAGAUACACUUUAUUUGGCAUAGAUUUAUUUAGAUGUGUAUCUUCUAACUUUUUCCACAAUUCAACAGCAGUUUGAGUCUCACCAAUUUUCCUAAGUACAUUAUCAGAUAAAUGCAAGAAUAUUGAGCUUCAGGCAGUUUCAUCAAGUUCAGUUAUCUUUAUCUCUUCUAAAUCAUCUGGCCAUGACUCAUUAAUAGCCUUUGCACAUUUUUGUUGUAAUAAAAUUGCCCUCAUUUUCUGGCGCCAGAGACUAAAGUCUCCUUUGCCGUUAAAAACAUCAAAUUCAAAUUUUGUAGUUGUCAUAAAAAAAAUUUGUUUGGAUGCAGUUUCAAUGCAUGCAGAUUAGAGACACACUUCAAAGUGUAUAUUCAAUGUACAAUACUUCAGAUUUACAUAAGAAACCAACUGAAUGUACAAUAUCACCUAUUGCAGAUAAUUUCAGUAUUCUCACGGAGUUUGAUUUACAAUAAUGCACUUUAGAGGAUCCCAAAUUAUACAGAUUAAGUACAGGUAAUCACAGUAUGCAAUAUACAACAAUAGAGGUCACAAACAUGUACUUAAAUGAAAGAUCUUUGACUUAGUCAAGACAACCCUCAUAUUCCAGACAACUCAAAAGGUUUCUAGACAAAGGAAUUGCCAAGAGAGUCUCAGAUCUGAAAGUUUUUGUCACGAUUACUAGUAACUCAAGGUAUAAGCAAGUACUCUAUAUAAUGAAAGAAAAAAUGGAACGAACUCACCGAAUAACUUAGUUAGGGUUUCAAAGAAAUAUCAAAUAUGUCAUUGUACAAGUGUUUAAUCUUUCAGAUCUGCAAGAAUCGAGGCCAAGAGCCACAGCUUAAUUGCUCUGAUACUACUAUUAAGAGCAGAUUCCAGAAUUAAUUCGCUUACAACAAAAAUUGCAUAAAAAUUAAAGUUGCAGAAGUAAAAAAAAAAAAAAAAAAACUCAUAAAAUUUUUCGCCCUAAAGCAAGAGGUUCAGCGCAAGCUCCUAAUCCCCUUUUGUGCUUCCACCACCGGAAGAAUUACUACAUUAAACUGAAACCAAUGAACCGUCCAAGAAUAUAUAGAUUCGAGACUCAAGCCAGAAUACACUCAAGAUUACAGAUCAAAACCCUCACUAAUCAUCUAACAAUUCACUCAAGAACCCAGAUGCGAAAUCAGUAAAUAUAAUAAUCAUUCAAGACAAAUGAUACAUGAUUUCUACUUGAAGAUUUAAGAUCUUCAAGUUGUAAACACAAACUGUAAGGGUUAAAUUCAUGGCACUCAGAAGUCUCGAAGAAUGAAUGAGAGGAAAAACUCAAGGAUCGGCAAAGAGAGAACUCAAUAGUCGAAGAAGAUGAAAGAGUGAAACCUAGGAGCCAAGAGACGUGUAUAUAUCAGAAGUCUCCAGAAAAUCAUCAUCCAACGGUAGCAAUGGUGACACUUGGCACGAUCCAUAUCAUUUGCUCAAUUUGUAAAAGCGUGUUUUUGAGAACACAAUUUAUUGCCAACUAAAUUGAGUCAGACAAGUCAAAAUAGGGCUAUCCAGUCAGCAAUAGAUCCAUAUCAUUGUGCCAUUACCUCACAAGAAGUGCUCAUAAAUCCUGACAAUAGAGUAGUGAUAUUCUAUGAGGUCCCAAGAAUUGUUGCGGUAAAUGCAUAUGAGUUCUAAUACCAGCCUUUUUCUUCUAUUCAGUUCCUAAGGCCUCUUGCAGAGGAAAGUAGUGGUAUGUCUUCAGAAGCUGCAGAAAAGGAACAUGCUUUGGCGAAUGGCAUAGAUGCCAUUGCUUCGAGCAUGGGAAGAACAUCUAUUGAUGAAGAGUCCAAAAAGGAGAUGCAACUUGAGUAUAAGAAUGUUUGUCUGGAGAAGUUCUCGAGUGCCGAGACAGUGUCCAAGUCUAAACACGAAGAGGAAAAAGGGCCUGACAAUAGUCAGAAGGAGAUAAGUUACAACCCAUAUAUCACUGAACAAGCACAUAUACAAUCCAGCUUUGUAUUUGAUGAAAAACAAUUGGAAGAGGUAAGUUAUCCAAGGAAAGUGGAAGUUCUAUAGGAGCUUCUUUCAGCUUGUCUGGCAGAUACACCCAAAGGCGACAAGAAAUGUACCAGGCAAAGAAAGGGAUAUGAUGCAAGACACCGUGUGGCAUUACGGCUGCUAGCUGCCUGGUUUAAUGUGAAGUGGAUAAAAGUGGUACACUUAUUCGUUAUUGAUAUAUUCAAUUGUCCAGCUAUAUGUUGUGCUAACCAGACAAAAUUUCUAUUGGUACUGUAUAUAGCAUAAUAAAUUGUGUUAUAAUGCUUUAAGUUGAUUGUUACGGAUAAGAAUGCCAAGUAGUUUUGCACUUUGUAUGAGACAUGAUGGACCUAGCUGGGGAAUGUUAUAUUAUGUUAAAUUUACAUGCUAGGAUUGUGUCAGUGACAAGGAACAAAGAGGAUUCUGUGCGUCAAUAUGAAGCAACAGACCUUGUCUAGCUUGUGAAUUGAAUUGUUGGGGAAAUGUGAAGGAUUUUAUGUUAAUACCUUUGUAUGCAAGCAAAGAAAAGUGCAUACAUUGCUACUUCUGAAUCAAGCAUGAAAAAUGAUAUGGUCAUAAAUCGAUAAAGUCUUCUAGCAGCCUGACAGCAUGUGCCUUGGCUAAUUAGAAGAUCAAAUUUGUAGGUAUAUUCAAGUUUGUUUGAUCAAAUUGUUUCUUGCAUAAAAUAUGACGUUUCUCUUUCCAUUAAUGGUGUGCGAUCGUUUUUACCUGUUGUAAAAAUCUGUUAGAGUAUUCCGGGGAGUAUAAACAAAGUUGGUGUUGAUGGAAACUUUUUUCAAACAAAGAAAGCGAAUGUGAAUUGCCAAAGUUUUCCUGUUUUCCUGACCGAGACAUUUUGAUAAAAAAGUUUAAAGGAGAAAUAAUGACUUUUCUGUUGCCAUUAAUAGUGUGAUAUCUCUUUUACCUGUAGUAAAAAUCUGCUAAAAUAUUCUGCGUAUAACCAAGGUUGGUGUUGAUGCUCAAUGCUUUUUCGAAAUAAAGAAAACAAAUAUCACUUGACAUAGUUCUUGAUUUUGAUUUAGGGUUGGAUGACCAAGUCAUUCUUGUCCUAUAUUCUACUUCAAAUAUGUUAAUAAAACCUCACACAAUAUGUCAAACUUUCAUGUGAAGAGCAUUAUAUUGCUGUUGAGAAGAUGAUCCCAACUUAGAAUUUUUUGUAAGCUUCUAUAGUCAUAUGAUUUUGGAUCAGUUUUGCAUCUUGUCAUUUGUCUUCUCAAGCAAUUAUAUCUUCUCAGGAAGCCAUGGAAACCAUGGUUGUUUGUUCUGCAAUGGAUCUAAUAAAAGAGGAAGAAUCAGAGAAAGGAACCCAAUCUACAAAAGGCUCAUGGGCCAAUUGGAAACAUGGAGGUACCAUAGGUGCUGCUGCAUUAACGGGAGGAGCCUUAAUGGCAAUUACUGGCGGUAUGGUCCCUUUCACCUUCCUGGAUUGUUUGUGCAUUUGGACAUACUCCAAGAAAAAGCUCAGUUUUUUUUGGUCAAAGCAAACAAGUUUUUAUGAAAUAUACAUAUUUACUCUUUCACAUGUUCUUUACAUCAGGUUUAGCUGCUCCAGCUAUUGCUGCAGGGUUUGGUGCUUUAGCACCCACUUUAGGAACUAUAGUCCCAGUGAUUGGAGCAAGUGGGUUUGUUGCUGUUGCCACUGCGGUAGGAAGUGUUGCAGGUUCUGUUGCAGUUGCCACAUCUUUUGGUGGUGAGAACGCAGAUGAAUUGGUAGGAUAGCAAAAUAUCUGUCUGAAUUUUUUUCUUGUUAAGUAUCUUAAUAUAAAAUUUGUGACAGAUAUUACUGCUGCUAUGCUCUUUAUGCCAUAAAAUGACAAUUUAAAUGACCUCAAUCCAACUGAAUAAACAUCAGAUUUUUAUGUUGUUUAAUCCAAUCUGAUAUUUCUCUCUGAUAUUUCAAUCGACCAAGCUGCUGGAGCUGGACUUACAGGGAGUAAAAUGGCUAGGAGAAUUGGAGAUGUUGAUGAAUUUGACUUCAAAGCGAUAGGAGAAAAUCAUAACCAAGGAGUGAGUUUUAAAGCUUUGCCUAAAUAGAAAAUGGAAAAGAGAUUUGAUACAUUUUCAUGAAUUGAGAUCUACUGUCUAUUUCUGCUGUCCAUCCAUUUGUAAAUUGACACAUCAUGGAAAAUUAAAGUUGCCAUCAAUUUUAAUUUUCCAACCUAAGUAUCAAUUUUAUUUUUUCUUGAUGUGUCAAUUUGUAAUUGGGUGGACAGCAAAAAUGAACAGCAGAUCUCAACUCCAUUUUAAUACCUUUUGAUCUCUGGUAGCUUUUUUAAUUUGUUUAAUUGGAUAUUACAGUCCAGGUAGAAAUUUCUGCACUAUUUUAUUUUCGGCUUCUUAUGAAGUGGAACGUGUGUUUGUUUGUGGGCACUUGCAUUUUUUGUAUAUCCUCAUUUUAAGCCUACUUCGUCAGCGGCUACCAGUUGAGAUCUUGUUAUCCGGAUUUGCUUUUGAGGAGGACGAUUUUGUAAGACCUUAGGAAAGACAACAUGAUAACUUGGAGAGGUCUGGCUUGAUACCUUCUCUUGUUGAGGUCUUUUCCUACAUAUUUUAGUGCUACAACUGAUAAUAUCAAUGCUAUGAUAUCCUCCAUUGUUGAGGUCUGGCCUGCCAUGGUAGUCGGGCAAAGAAAGUGAAGUUAACACUAUCAUAUUAUUCUUUUGAAUUUUUAAAAAUUUUUCCAUGAAAUUCCUUGGCUAUGAUGUUGCAUGUCUCCUUACCAAAUGUAUAAUUGAACAAUUGACGGAUUACAGUUCCCUGGCUUCAUGAUUUCACUGUCAAUAAUGCUACGGAAUUGUAUUCUUCUGAAUGUUUUAUGACGCUGUUAUUUCUUUAUAUUUCUUAGGUAUACACUGCAGUGGUAGUCUAAGAAUCUAAUUUCUAUAAGCACAGGAAUUCAAGACUGGCUUACUUCAAGUAAGAGAUUUUGUCCUUGUAUUUGAAUAUAAUGCAUUAACUAGCUACCUCCACUGGAAUGUGGAAUGACAUAAACAUGACUAUUUGCUGCAGAAAUUGCCACGGAAAUGAUGAAGCAAUGUGCCAUGAUGACUGUACUAGGCAUGCUUGUAACAGCCUUUGCUGGGCCAACUACAUUACUUACUCUUACUGACUUUAUUGAUAGCAUAUGGGCAAUUUCUGUGGACAGGUUUUCCUAGUCACUUGAUAUCAAUAAGAUACCAAUGUCGAGAAGGGAGAUAAGCUGUUCAAAAAUUGAAACUGAAUGUUAGUGCUGGUAGGACAUAUGUACCUAGAUCUGCUGGAUCUAAGAUAUUGAACAAUAAAACCUAAAUUGUCAGUUGAGAAACGAUUUGACACUUUCAGUUAUCUUCUCUGAUAACAUUUUUCUUUAGGGGCGUGGGUAGGCAAAGCAUUUUCUGAAAAUGUCUGAAAUUUUUUGUUUUUUUGUGUUGCAGCUGUAUGACGUGUAGCAAGGACUAUUGUCUCUUUCUUAUAAUGUGAUGUCCAUGUUUAGAGUAAUCUUAUUUGAUUCUAUUUUGUAUAGAUCUGAUAAGGCUGGAAAACUGCUUGCUGAAGUAUUGUUAAAGGGGUUGCAAGGACAUAGGUACGCCAGUGGAAAAGAGGAAAUUGUGAUUAUUCUUAUUUAAUUACAUUCGAAGUCAGAGUUUACUGUUCCUCCGAUUUUCAUUUCUGGUUGUUCAAUCAAAAUUUGCAGGCCUGUGACACUCGUAGGUUUCUCACUUGGUGCAAGAGUUAUUUUCAGCUGCUUCAGAUUUUGCCUGAAAGUGAAAAUAGUGGUAACACAUUAAGCUGACCCACUAAUCUAUGGCACAGUUUAUUUGCUCCAUCCUAAAAUUAAAGACUAGAAAAAGUUAUAAAGAAAGGUGAAACAUAUUCAUCGAUUUAUAUUUUUUUAAUGUGCCACAUGCUCAUUUACAAUACGCCAAAUUAGACAAGAUGGUAGAUACACUUAAGAGUGUAUCUAUGUUUGGCAUGGUAUGUGUCCCUUAUUUGAUCUAUCAAUAGUCUAUCAUUUAUGCUUAAAACAAGCAUCUAUUGUUUCAUUCUUUGAGCAAUGCUGCUUGUACAGGCCACACACAAUACAGAGGGGUGGCUAAUUUCAUUUUUUUUAAAAUAAUCCCCCACCCAACAUGUGAGGGGCCUAUACAGCAGGCAAUUUCCUCCUCAGAAAUGGUUCACAUUCCAUCUAACUGAUGCGGGUAAAGGUGUUUCCAAUUUUCCACUCAAAUCACUAACAUCCCAUCUAAGUACAAAGACCUUAAUGUAAAGGCUUUAGUGCCAAUGUCAGCCAUCUAACACUUUGAACAAAAGAAUGAGGAAAUUGCCUAUUGUUCACAGGGGACAAAUCUCUCACAUGCUGGGUGGGGGAUUAUUUAAAAAAAAAAAAAAAAUUAUCCACCCCCCUGUUUUCACAGGGCCUGUACAGGUAGCACUACUCUUCUGAGGAUUGGAUAACUAGAACCUGCCGGCAUGGACUAACACACUUAAGAAUUAUUAGAGAAGUACUGUACCAGUACUGUGCAGUUCCUUCAACAAGCUACCAUAAACAUAGAACGGGUGAUGGCUCGAAGUUUUUUGAUAGAAUGACAUGCUAUGAUUGAUCUAUUUCUGCCGUUUAAUUACAAUUUAGUACAUGACAUGGGAUUUUACCUUAUUACCUAAUUGCUAGCUUUGUACUUAAAUAUCUCAUAGUUUUGUCUCUCAAUGUUAAAACUUCAAACCUGAGUAUAAGCUAAACAAAAAAGUACCUCCAGAUUUAAGAAUCCAAACAAAUGAUUCUGGAAAUUUCUACAGGAUGGAUAUCAAUUCUAUCUGCAUUGCAAAUUUAACUUCUUUUCAUAUAUGAUCCUGGGUCCUAUUAUUCUGAUGACUUAUAAUAAACAACAUUCCUUCCAAUCCCACCCCCCAGUUGAAGGUUUCAAAUAGUAAAUCAUGCCCUUUUAGACAACUUAGAUUUUAGAUAAAAUGUUGAUUCAGUAUGGCCUUAGAAUAGGCACAUGUCAUAGUAUUAAGAUUUACGGACUCCCAUUGCUAAUAGUUAAUUAAUAAAAUCAUGUGCUAAGCCUUUGAGAAAAAUAAACGUUGCCCGGAUGUCGUCGUCCUUCAAACAACUUGACUUUUUAGGUGGGAACUCGACCUCCAAAAGAAAAUCUCUUUUAAGUUCUGUAUUAUAAAAUACUGAUUCACUCCCCUAUUUUUUGUCAGCUGGACUUGUGGAAAGAGUUGUUCUACUUGGAGCACCCAUUGCAAUUAAAGAAAUGAACUGGGAAGCUACUCGGCAGGGAUUGUUGCUUUACCUUCUGCAUUCAUAUUCACAAAUAUUGAUAUUGUAUCAAUAAUAGGCACAUAUGCAUCAGUUACUGUUAUUGCAUAUGUUUAACAUUCUCUAUUAUGCAGGUGGUGGCUGGAAGGUUUGUGAAUGCAUAUUCUACCAACGAUUGGAUACUUGGAAUUGCGUUUCGUGCCAAGUAUGCAAGUCUUAAAUCUACUGUGAAAAUAUUAGGAUUGUGAAAUUGAUAGGUAGAUCACAUCUUGCUUUUGAAGUUGAGAUUUGUGCCUAACUGUGUCAAUAGAAGUAUCAAAACAAAAGAAGAAGUGAAUUUUUUUUGUCCAUUCUUUUGCUUAUUGAUUUUCGAUGUUGCCCUUUGCCUAUAACAGUCUUCUGACACUAGGAUUGGCAGGAAUUCAACCAGUGGAAGUGCCUGGAAUUGAAAAUGUAAAUAUUAUUCGUAAUGCUGGUCAACAUAGCGUAACAUAUGUUUGGGAUUUCAACCUUUAUCUCUCCAUUGUUUUUGACAGGUUAACGUAACUAGCAUAAUUGAUGGUCACUCUUUUAUCUUUGGAAUGCCCAGGAAAUCCUAGAACAGCUCGAACCGAUUUUCAGUCCUCCCCCUGUCAAAACAUAGUUUGUACUGAAAUUCUGGCAUAGAGUGCAAUUGCAUCAGAGGCUUUGUUCUUGUCGGAAAUGGAGGUUUGGAUCUAAUUUUAAGUGUUACCGUAGUCGGCUUGUGUAUUCUUGAACCGAGGAUAUUUCAUUAGUUACUGCUUGGUACUUCUAUAAAUUUCAUUUUAUCCUCAUUCUUUGCGCAAUAUGAAUCAUAAGAAUUGAACAAAUGAAACAGGUAAACAGGUGGUAAUAUUGAAGAUCUGUACUUGCUCGUGUUACUGAGGAGAUGAAGAGUGGCUAUAAAAGUGCAAAACAAAUGCUGGAGUUCCCAUACGAGAAAUUAAGUAGAUGCCAUAUUUUUGGAACUGAUACAAAUCAACAUUGCCAAGAAUGUAGAAUGUAAAAUGAAUAAUGUUAAUUUACAUAAACAUAAAAUGUCACAACAUGUAGAACUUUUAGCUUCAAUGAUACUAUAGUAUACUUUUCUACACUAACAUGAAAGUAUUUUGCACAUUGUUCUGAGAUUUUUUCAAAGUACUAUAAAAUUGUUACGUUUAGAUGUUUGCCAAA
rnacentral:lncRNA from 1 species